AGCACUUGCUGUUUUUCAGUUCAGCCUGUUUCUAGGUGUGAACUUGGCAGAAGUGCUAAGAUUAAAACCUUCUCUUGCAACCCACAACUACUUGACUUGUAGGAGUUGUGUUACUUAUGGGAAGGGACACU